ensembl:lncRNA
GACCUGGGACCUGUUUCCUGGACCUUGAAGCGCCUGCCCCUCUGACACAGAUUGGUGCCUAAUUGCAAAACUGAAUAUCGUGCCCCAUCAGAAAGAAGGGCUUGAAAACAUUCUGAAUUAUCCAUCCUCGUGCUCGAGAACAGUGAACUCAGUAGGUUAUUUGUUCUUGCGGCAGUUGAGUUUUUGCUCAAGUCCCACCCUUGAAAAAGAUGAGCUUCCCUGCAUUAGAGGAAGUGUAACUAGAUAACUGCAAGCUUAGUCAAGGGGAAAUUUUUGAAAUAAAAGACAGUACACAUUUGAGGAAGUGGGUUAACAUGCCAACAAGAAGUCAAGAGGCCUGGGCAAGAGGCCAACAAAGAAUCAGAGAAAUCCACACUUCUCCAUGAUAAUUGUUGAAGACUGGACAAUGCAGAAGCAGUAAACAUCCUGAACUUGUAAGCAGUCAGAGCUGAUGAUCCUUAAUGAAGAGACCGGCAUGGUGUGUAAUACAAUACACGAUCAAGGAUAGUUAGCAGCAUCUCUAGCCUCUACCUUGGAGUCCUUUGACCUGUACUCUUGAGAGUCUGUUGGACAGCUAGGAGAUCAAACCAGUCCACCCUAAAGGAAGUCAACCCUGAACAUUCACUGGAAGGACUGAAGCGGAAGCUGAAGCUCUGAUCCUUUGGCUACCUGAUGCGAAGAGCUGACAUAUUGGAAAAGACCCUGAUGUUGGGAACGACUAAAGGCAAGAGAAGAAGCGGGGUGACAGAGAAUGAGAUGGUUGGAUGGCAUCACCGACUCAAUGGACAUGAGUCUGAGUAGACUCAGGGAAGGAGUGAUGGACAGGGAGGCCUAGCGUGCUGCAGUCCACGGGGUCACAAAGCAUCAGGCAUGACUGAGCGACUGAACAGCAACUGGUUUCUACUUGCUUGAUGCCAAUUCUCAUCAACUCUUGGGUAAAAUGGGCUUUGGAAACUAGAGAUUUGGAAUUUCCCUCAGGCUUGGAAGCAUUAUAUGCCAAGGAGGUGUGGGGAGGCACCAGCAGCAUCUGCUACAGUUAACCCCUAUAGCACUCAGAUGGGCUUCCCAGGUAGCACUAGCAGUAAAGGAUCUGCUUGGCAGAGCAGGAGACACGAAAAACAAGGGUUCGAUCCCUCGAUCGGGAAGGUCCCCUGGAGAAGGAAGUGGCAACCCACUCCAGUAUUUUUGCCUGAAAAACUCCAUGGACGGAGGAGCCUGGCAGGGUACAGUCCAUGGGGUUGUGAAGAGUCAGACAUGACUGAGCACACACACAGCACUCAGAACCAUUUCUGUCCUACAUUAACUCACUUCAUGCUGUACUGGUUCUUCCAGGUGAUGGCUGCUCACGAUUGAAAAAGAAUUUAAAAAAUCAUCAUGAGAGAGAGGUUAGGGGGACAGCUAUAUUUCCUGUUUCUUAAGAUGGUCUUAAGGCCAUAUUAGACAUUCAUCUUCUCCCUCCUCUUCCACCCAUUUGAGAUUCUCCUCACUCUUGGUGAGCAAUUUUUUUCUUUUUGGCCACAACAUGUGACCUGCGGAACUUCCAUGACUGGGGAUGGAAUCUGUUCCCCCUGCAAUAGAAGGACAGGAAUUGUAGCCUCCAGAGUUAUUUUAACUCGACCACCAGGGCAGCCCUCAUCUAGCACUUCUGGUCUGAACUGCUCACCUGGGGGGGUGACCCAGACUGUACCCCCAUAACUGGGGCCUUACCAGGCUGUCAUGGUAAUUAUCCACUCCCAGUCAUGACUUGACAUGAAAGCAUGAAGACACGCCCCAGGGAAUUCCCUGUGUUCUGCAAACACUCCUUCUUACCUCAUUAUGUAGACGUGACUGUAUCUCCUCAGAAUAAUUGGAGAUGAAUUACUCUGGCCUACAGCACUUCCCUUUUCUGUCUUCUGGUUUAUUGGCACGUUGCUUAGUUGCCAAGCUGUAUCCGACUCUUUUGAAACCCCACGGACUGUAGCCCACCAGGCUCCUCUGUCCAUGGGAUUCCCCAGGCGAGAAUACUGUAGUGCGUUGCCAUUUCCUUCUCCAGGGGAUCUUCCCAACUCAGGGACUGAACCCAAGUCUCCUGCAUCACAGGUGGACUUUAUUGCUGAGCCACCAGGGAAGCCCCUAUUGGCAUGAGGAGCUCAGAAUAACCAGGUUUUAGCCACACAGUGGAGUUCUAUAUCCUUUUGCAGAACACCUCCUUAUCCCCCAUCAGGAGAUUGAGACUUCUAGUCCAGCCAAACCUGAAGCGCAGAUUCCUCAGGGAGACCCUGGGAGUGGUGAUGAGAGAUGCCACUAGACAUCCAUCCCUUGGUUCCCAGAACUUUGGGGAUUCUACCAAUUGGAAUCCAGCACCCCCAUCCCUCAGGAUUCGCCUACCAACGGGUGCCUUCGUUGUGCCAUUUCAGGCCAUCACAAUGUUUAAUCAAACUGGUAACUUUCAGGUGAUGUUCUACACAGCAGGAUCACUGGAUCCCAUUAUCACAUGCCCAUUUUGACAUAAAAUGGAGCCCUUGGUUUGCGGCAUGUAUCACGAUUCAAUCAGAGAAGCAGAGCCAUUGUGAGUGACAUAGUGACCUAGGUAUUCUUUUUUUGCCAUGUUAUGUGGCAUUUGGGACCAUAGUUCCCCGCCCAUGGAUCAAACUCAUACCCCCAGCAUGGAAGCGCAGUCUUAACUGCUGGACUGCCAGGGAAGUCCCUCAAAAGUUUUUUUUAUAAAAUUUCAUAAUCAUCUCUUUCCAUAGGUAAAAUGCCAGAGUAUUCAAAGCAUUGUGUAGCAACAAAACAUUUUUAGUAAUGUCCCAU